rnacentral:rRNA from 1 species
GACGAACGCUGGCGGCGUGCUUAACACAUGCAAGUCGUACGGUAAGGCCCUUUCGGGGGUACACGAGUGGCGAACGGGUGAGUAACACGUGAGUAACCUGCCCACAACUUUGGGAUAACGCUAGGAAACUGGUGCUAAUACUGGAUAUGUGCUCCUGCUGCAUGGUGGGGGUUGGAAAGCUCCGGCGGUUGUGGAUGGACUCGCGGCCUAUCAGCUUGUUGGUGGGGUAGUGGCCUACCAAGGCGGCGACGGGUAGCCGGCCUGAGAGGGUGACCGGCCACAUUGGGACUGAGAUACGGACCAGACUCCUACGGGAGGCAGCAGUGGGGAAUAUUGCACAAUGGGCGCAAGCCUGAUGCAGCAACGCCGCGUGCGGGAUGACGGCCUUCGGGUUGUAAACCGCUUUCAGCAGGGAAGAAGCUUUUUGUGACGGUACCUGCAGAAGAAGCACCGGCUAACUACGUG